CAUGCCCGGGAUCGCCCCCCACCAGCGAGUUUCGCCCGUGGGGGCGUUUAUG
rfam:Roseovarius indicus strain B108 contig1, whole genome shotgun sequence.